rnacentral:rRNA from 1 species
GGGUUGUGAGGUUAAGCGACUAAGCGUACACGGUGGAUGCCCUGGCAGUCAGAGGCGAUGAAGGGCGUGCUAAUCUGCGAUAAGCGCCGGUAAGGUGAUAUGAACCGUUAUAACCGGCGAUACCCGAAUGGGGAAACCCAGUGUGAUUCGUCACACUAUCAUUAACUGAAUCCAUAGGUUAAUGAGGCGAACCGGGGGAACUGAAACAUCUAAGUACCCCGAGGAAAAGAAAUCAACCGAGAUUCCCCCAGUAGCGGCGAGCGAACGGGGAGGAGCCCAGAGCCUGAAUCAGCAUGUGUGUUAGUGGAAGCGUCUGGAAAGGCGCGCGAUACAGGGUGACAGCCCCGUACACAAAAGCGCAUGUGCUGUGAGCUCGAUGAGUAGGGCGGGACACGUGGUAUCCUGUCUGAAUAUGGGGGGACCAUCCUCCAAGGCUAAAUACUCCUGACUGACCGAUAGUGAACCAGUACCGUGAGGGAAAGGCGAAAAGAACCCCGGCGAGGGGAGUGAAAAAGAACCUGAAACCGUGUACGUACAAGCAGUGGGAGCACCCUUCGGGGUGUGACUGCGUACCUUUUGUAUAAUGGGUCAGCGACUUAUAUUCUGUAGCAAGGUUAACCGUAUAGGGGAGCCGGAGGGAAACCGAGUCUUAAUUGGGCGUUAAGUUGCAGGGUAUAGACCCGAAACCCGGUGAUCUAGCCAUGGGCAGGUUGAAGGUUGGGUAACACUAACUGGAGGACCGAACCGACUAAUGUUGAAAAAUUAGCGGAUGACCUGUGGCUGGGGGUGAAAGGCCAAUCAAACCGGGAGAUAGCUGGUUCUCCCCGAAAGCUAUUUAGGUAGCGCCUCGUGAAUUCAUCUCCGGGGGUAGAGCACUGUUUCGGCUAGGGGGCCAUCCCGGCUUACCAACCCGAUGCAAACUGCGAAUACCGGAGAAUGUUAUCACGGGAGACACACGGCGGGUGCUAACGUCCGUCGUGAAGAGGGAAACAACCCAGACCGCCAGCUAAGGUCCCAAAGUCAUGGUUAAGUGGGAAACGAUGUGGGAAGGCCCAGACAGCCAGGAUGUUGGCUUAGAAGCAGCCAUCAUUUAAAGAAAGCGUAAUAGCUCACUGGUCGAGUCGGCCUGCGCGGAAGAUGUAACGGGGCUAAACCAUGCACCGAAGCUGCGGCAGCGAACGUAUCACCCAAGACAACUUUACGGAGUUGACGAUUGACGGAGCGAAGCGACGUCAAAGCGUUCAUUAAAGUCGAGUUGGCUUAGGGAUACGUUCGUUGGGUAGGGGAGCGUUCUGUAAGCCUGUGAAGGUGUGUCGUGAGGCAUGCUGGAGGUAUCAGAAGUGCGAAUGCUGACAUAAGUAACGAUAAAGCGGGUGAAAAGCCCGCUCGCCGGAAGACCAAGGGUUCCUGUCCAACGUUAAUCGGGGCAGGGUGAGUCGACCCCUAAGGCGAGGCCGAAAGGCGUAGUCGAUGGGAAACGGGUUAAUAUUCCCGUACUUGGUGUUACUGCGAAGGGGGGACGGAGAAGGCUAUGUUGGCCGGGCGACGGUUGUCCCGGUUUAAGCGUGUAGGUGUGUGUUCCAGGUAAAUCCGGUUCACUUUAACACUGAGGCGUGACGACGAGGCACUACGGUGCUGAAGCAACAAAUGCCCUGCUUCCAGGAAAAGCCUCUAAGCAUCAGGUAACACGAAAUCGUACCCCAAACCGACACAGGUGGUCAGGUAGAGAAUACCAAGGCGCUUGAGAGAACUCGGGUGAAGGAACUAGGCCAAAAUGGUGCCGUAACUUCGGGAGAAGGCACGCUGACACGUAGGUGAAGUGAUUUACUCAUGGAGCUGAAGUCAGUCGAAGAUACCAGCUGGCUGCAACUGUUUAUUAAAAACACAGCACUGUGCAAACACGAAAGUGGACGUAUACGGUGUGACGCCUGCCCGGUGCCGGAAGGUUAAUUGAUGGGUCAGCGUAAGCGAAGCUCCUGAUCGAAGCCCCGGUAAACGGCGGCCGUAACUAUAACGGUCCUAAGGUAGCGAAAUUCCUUGUCGGGUAAGUUCCGACCUGCACGAAUGGCGUAAUGAUGGCCAGGCUGUCUCCACCCGAGACUCAGUGAAAUUGAACUCGCUGUGAAGAUGCAGUGUACCCGCGGCAAGACGGAAAGACCCCG